ACGAGGCGGCUGGUCCGACUGAGCUGCGUGGUGGCGCACCUUGCCAAUGUCCUGGAGCUCGACAGCUUGACGCGAACUGCGGCACCGCAGAGCUCGGCGCGGGCCGCAGCGUAUAGCUUGUGCAGUUUCCUCCUGCUGCUUGGGCUUGGCAUCCCGUAAGGAGCUCGCCGUGCAAGCCCGCCCAAGCCCGUGCCGCUGGCCGCUGCAACAGACGCGAUGCCCAGGACGACAAACCGCCGGCCGGAAGCACGGUGCCAACGAACGAGAACGGAGAACCUCUUCGAUCGACAGGCCAUGGAGGAUGUGCGUGGCGAGGCCUGUGCUGGCACCGAAAGCAGGCAGCGGUAGGACAUGCGACUCUGGCUGCUGGGGGCCUGGGGCCUCAGCCUUCAUGAUGAUGCGGCAGCAGCCUCUGCCUGGAAGUUUCGGCUCCACCAGCAGGCGGCGCUACGGCCGGAGCACGGGCAUGGCGGCCUGGCCAGCGCUCGAUGCAGCGUGUCCGGAAGCCCUGGCCGCAGGCCGGCAUGACGCGCACGGCGUCCCCGUUCAUGAACUCUGCCGGGAAUAGGCCGUGGCUCGCGUGGGUCACAAUUGGAGCUGGGCAGCGGCGCGUGGUGCGGACGCUGAAGGUGUGGUGCGCGUCGUGUUCUUUCUCCAGCCGGACAUGUUCUCCACGGAGUCUGCGGCGUUAACAGCAAAUGUGACGGAAUGCUACUUUCAGGUAACAGUUCUUUUUUUCGAUGGUAUUUUACGUGACGAAGAUCUUCCGGUGGUAUUUUUC